AAGUGAUACAAAUAACUCUCAGGGCCUUGAACAAGACCCAGUGAACAAUUUUUGCAGACCCUAUUCUUUGAGAAUAGGGUG
rnacentral:snRNA from 1 species